CAAUCACACACACAAUCACACACACUCAUACUACAAUCACACACAAUCACACUCACACACACAAUCACACUGACACACUCAGACACACAUAAUCACACACACACACACACACACACACACAGCAGGGGCCCCUGCUCCUGGAACAGGUCACCUUCCCCCUCUAACUCUGGCUUCCCAGCCCUCACCGACGCCCACGUGUGGGAGUCCUAGGAGAAAGGGUGAAGGCUGAGCUAAUUGGGCUGCCGGCUUGAGGAAGAGUCGCCGAGACCGGGGCCGAAAAUUAAUUAAUUAAAUAAUAAUGAUAAUAAUAACAAUAAUCGUGGCAGUCCUAACAGCGCGCAUUCCAUGAAGUGGGUCGAGCUCCGCAGAAUGCUUUAUGUUUAUCGUCUCAUUUGAUGUUCCCCACGGCUUUUCAAGGGGCGAUGCUGUGAUUGUCCCCAUUUCACAGAUGAGGAAACUGAGACCGAGUGGAGGACUUGAAUCUGGGUCUAGCUUUUCCUAUCCCACCACCAUCCUGGGCGUGGUCCUGCCUGAUCCUGGCUCAC
rnacentral:lncRNA from 1 species